UAAUUGAAUAUCAGAAAUGAAUAUACUUAAGCUAUCAAUAGUACUUUUCCCACGUCUGAAACCGAAUUGGGAUUCACAUAAUAGACCGUUAUGCUCAACAAACCAUUCUAAACGAUUUUUUAUAAGAUGUUCUGUAAUUUUCAUCAAAACAGAAGAAAGUGCGAUUGGGCGAUAGGCAGAAUGGUCUGAAGAACACCUAUUAGGUUUCAGUACGGGAAUUAUUUCUUGACGUUUCCACGUGGAGGGGAUGUUACCAGAUGUCACUAUGGAAUUUAUAAGAGAUAAAUAAUAAAAUAAAGCAUCAUCAUCUAAAUGAGAGAUAAAGGAAUACGGAAUACCGUCCAGUCCAGGAGCAGAAUCCUUAACAUGAGACAAUACACCUUUUAGUUCAGUGAGAGAAAAUAUACUGUUUAAACCAAAACAGUUAUCAUUAUUUAUAUUUAUUACAGGGUAACCAAUUAUUAAGUCUUCAGGAACGAAAGGUGGAGCCAAUUUAUCUAAAAAGCUAUUAACUAAAUGAAAAGGGAUUGAUUUUGGAGAUGAAUCUUUGUAUGCAGAUCUAAACCUUCUUAUAUUUUGCCAUACAAGAGAUGGUUUGACAUCAGGUUGGAAAUGAUAAUAAUAGUGGGAAGUGAUCACUACCAAAAGUAGAUCGUAAUGGAUCCCAGGACAAAGAAGAAGCAAGAUUAGGUGUAGUGACUGUUAAAUCUGGAGCACUUGGGCCCUCGUCAGGAUGAGAACGUCGUGUAGGACGACCAUCAUUUAAUAUACACAAAUUCACUGAAUCAAAUAUAUCUAUUAAUGUGUUACCAUAAGUAUUAGAAGAUAAGUAACCCCAGGAUUCAUGGCGACAGUUAAAAUCACCAAGGAUCAUAAAAGGCUUCGGAAGAAUGGAAAUAAUAUCUUUAAUUUCAUUUAAGAUUGCAGAAGAAGGAUGAGGUAUAUAAAUAGAUACAUAACAGAUAUUUUCAACUAAAGCAGCAAUAAUAGAAAAAUCAUUACUGUGAGAAGGAAUAGAGAAGAGAGAAAAGGAAAGAGGGUGUUUCACAAGCAUGGCUACUCCGCCAUGCCCAUCCACACGAUCUUCUCUGAGACAUGAAUAACCUCGAAUCUUAAAUAAAGAUCCUGGUUUCAACCAUGUCUCUUGAAGAGCACAGAUAUAAGGUUUAAAUUUAUUUAAUAAAUAAAUAAGAUCACUUUUUUUAGGAGUGAUGCUUUGACAAUUCCAUUGAAGAACUUUGUCCAUUAUUUGGUUUAUAAAUUUGAGUAAUUGCAGAAACUAAUAUGGCAGCGUUGGACGGUGAAAAUUCAUUCGAUUGACUAAGAGAUUUUAUAAGAGAAAUAAUUAAAUCAAUUACUGAGGAUUCCAAAGGAUUUUCAUUUACUUUGUUAAUUAAUGCACAUCCAUUAGAGGGUUGGGGAAUAUUAAAAUCCCUUAAAAUUUCUUGUGUCUGCAUAUUCUGGGUCGAGCUGACACUCUUUUACGGCCACUAGAUGUCUGAGACACAGAACCAUCUGUAUCCAUCGUGCUACCUUCGUCAUUAUGAGAAAUUGUCACUACAUGACCUAUAUCAGGGGCUGUCCCCCCAGGAUCAUCCGGGGGGUCCAUCAUAUCAUUGAAAAGUGAAGAAAAGAAGACUUACCAAUAGGAUGAAAUUUACACAAAUUAACACUUUAAUAAAAACUAACUACUAAAAUAUAUACAAACUACAACUUAUCUGAUCAAAAUAUCUAAAUAUUUACAUGAAAUUUAAAAAUAAAAUGAAAAAUUAUCAAAAUUAC